UGGGAUGUGGUGUAAUUGGCAACACAGCUGAUUCUGGUUCAGCCAUUCUUGGUUCGAGUCCAGGCAUCCCAGCCA
rnacentral:tRNA from 121 species